rnacentral:rRNA from 10 species
CCACCUAAGGCACGCCCGAACUCGACUGAUCUCGGAAGCUAAGCAGGGUCGG